rnacentral:rRNA from 1 species
GAUGAACGCUGGCGGCGUGCCUAAUACAUGCAAGUCGAGCGAACAGACGAGGAGCUUGCUCCUCUGACGUUAGCGGCGGACGGGUGAGUAACACGUGGAUAACCUACCUAUAAGACUGGGAUAACUUCGGGAAACCGGAGCUAAUACCGGAUAAUAUAUUGAACCGCAUGGUUCAAUAGUGAAAGACGGUUUUGCUGUCACUUUUAGAUGGAUCCGCGCCGCAUUAGCUAGUUGGUAAGGUAACGGCUUACCAAGGCAACGAUGCGUAGCCGACCUGAGAGGGUGAUCAGCCACACUGGAACUGAGACACGGUCCAGACUCCUACGGGAGGCAGCAGUAGGGAAUCUUCCGCAAUGGGCGAAAGCUUGACGGAGCAACGCCGCGUGAGUGAUGAAGGUCUUCGGAUCGUAAAACUCUGUUGUUAGGGAAGAAAAAAUGUGUAAGUAACUAUGCACGUCUUGACGGUACCUAAUCAGAAAGCCACGGCUAACUACGUG